rnacentral:lncRNA from 1 species
GCUGUUUCCAGUGUCCAGUGCUGGGGGCCAGGCAAGAUGAAGUGCCCAGUGCUUGGUGGUGGCAGCAGGUCCUCACUAGGCCAGUUAUGUCUCAAAAUUUUGGCACUCUUCUUGGCUGCAUGGUCUCAAACCUAGUUUUUUAGCCUACCUGCUGAUUCUGGCUGAGUGAAACAGCAACCUCGGUUAUUUGGAACACUGUCCGAACCAGAAAAGGAGCAAAAAUAAACAGCACCCAAAACCAGAUGAAGAAACCAACAACCACCCUCAAAGCAAAACAAAAAAGACUGUUCAUGGCCAAAAUAAAUGACACCGAACUCACCCCCCACACACAGCUGAGGUAUUUACCCACAGGUGAGCCAAUCAGAGCUUUCUUCAGAGGCCAUUCACUCUUUGUGCAGACACAAUUCAAGGGAAAAUUUGGGUGAAGGACUUCCCAUUCCACAGAGGAUUUGAAGGCUCACCUUAGAAGCGGGGGCCUGGGGGUGGUGCUGGAGACGACGCUCUGACAGGAAUGAGAAGAUGGGGGUCAAAAAUGGCUGGAUAUUGUCAGUUUGAUACAGUCUGGCUCUUCCUAUGCAUGGAGCUCCUAUCACAUGCCAGGCACAAUGGCCCCUCUCCUACCAUUGUCAAACCCUGGUAGCUGGACAUAGUUCUACUGGUAAACACCCCAGCCCAGCCCAGACUGUCGGAGCCAACCCUGGUCCUUCGCUGGGGGCGUACAGCAGUGUUCUUGGCUGGUCCUGCUUCGAGGCCUUCAGACAUCGUGCCAGGCUCUGUGCUAACAGUCACACGAGUUGAGCAUUACGCCCCUAUUUUACAGACAUGGGAACUGAGGCUCCUACCCAAGGUCAUGCAGGGAGGACUCAAACCCAAGCCUGGUGGACUUUAAACCUGGACGACAGCCUUCCUGGUCAGGGUGUUUCUCAGCUGAUCCCUCAGCCACCUCCCUUCUGCUUCCUACUCCCCAUCGCCACUCCCUCAAGCCUUAAAAUUCCCCUGUGAAGAGAUUUAUUCCUUGAGGCUGAAAGCAUUUCAAUUUUCAAGAGUCUCCAUUAAAAUGCAAAAGCCCCGGGGGUCCGGCCCAGUGUCGCAAUGGUUAAGUGCGCACAUUCUGCUUCGCGGCCUAGGGUUCGCUGGUUCGGGUCCCCGGUGUGGACAUGGCACUGCUUGGCAAGCCAUGCUGUGGUAGGCGUCCCAUAUAAAGUGAGGAAGAUG